rnacentral:rRNA from 1 species
UACGGAGGGAGCUAGCGUUAUUCGGAAUUACUGGGCGUAAAGCGCACGUAGGCGGCUUUGUAAGUUAGAGGUGAAAGCCUGGAGCUCAACUCCAGAAUUGCCUUUAAGACUGCAUCGCUCGAAUCCAGGAGAGGUGAGUGGAAUUCCGAGUGUAGAGGUGAAAAUUCGUAGAUAUUCGGAAAGAACACCAGUGGCGAAGGCGGCUCACUGGACUGGUAUUGACGCUGAGGUGCGAAAGCGUGGGGAGCAAACAGGG